rnacentral:rRNA from 1 species
CACGGGGUUGCGAGCGUUGUCCGGAAUUACUAGGCGUAAAGGGCAGGCAGGCGGAUCCAUAAGUUUAUCGUUUAAGGCGUCGGCUUAACCGGCGUAGGGCGGUAGAUACUGUGGAUCUGGAAUGCGGUUGGGGAAGACAGAAUUCCUGGUGUAGCGGUGGAAUGCGCAGAGAUCAGGAGGAAUACCGAAGGCGAAGGCAGUCUUCCAAGCCGUUAUUGACGCCCAACUGCGAAGGUGUGGGUAUCAAACAGGAUUAGAUACCCUGGUAGUCCCUGAG